UACAGAGGGUGCGAGCGUUGUCCGGAAUCACUGGGCGUAAAGGGCGCGUAGGUGGCGCCGCAAGUCCAUGGUGGAAGCUCGAUGCUCAACAUCGAGUCGGCCACGGAGACUGCGGGGCUCGAGCACUGUAGGGGCAGAUGGAAUUCCGGGUGUAGCGGUGGAAUGCGUAGAGAUCCGGAAGAACACCGGUGGCGAAGGCGGUCUGCUGGGCAGUUGCUGACACUGAGGCGCGACAGCGUGGGGAGCAAACAGG
rnacentral:rRNA from 1 species